rnacentral:rRNA from 1 species
ACCAAGGCGACGAUCCCUAGCUGUUCUGAGAGGAUGAUCAGCCACACUGGGACUGAGACACGGCCCAGACUCCUACGGGAGGCAGCAGUGGGGAAUAUUGCACAAUGGGGGAAACCCUGAUGCAGCCAUGCCGCGUGUGUGAAGAAGGCCUUCGGGUUGUAAAGCACUUUCAGUAGGGAGGAUAGGUUGUAAGUUAAUACCUUGCAGCUGUGACGUUACCUACAGAAGAAGGACCGGCUAACUCCGUGCCAGCAGCCGCGGUAAUACGGAGGGUCCAAGCGUUAAUCGGAAUUACUGGGCGUAAAGCGUGCGCAGGCGGUUUGUUAAGCGAGAUGUGAAAGCCCCGGGCUCAACCUGGGAAUUGCAUUUCGAACUGGCAAACUAGAGUCUUGUAGAGGGGGGUAGAAUUCCAGGUGUAGCGGUGAAAUGCGUAGAGAUCUGGAGGAAUACCGGUGGCGAAGGCGG